UACGUAGGGUGCGAGCGUUGUCCGGAAUUAUUGGGCGUAAAGAGCUUGUAGGCAGUCUGUCGCGUCUGCUGUGAAAAUCCGGGGCUCGACCCCGGACUUGCAGUGGGUACGGGCAGACUAGAGUGUGGUAGGGGAGACUGGAAUUCCUGGUGUAGCGGUGAAAUGCGCAGAUAUCAGGAGGAACACCGAUGGCGAAGGCAGGUCUCUGGGCCACUACUGACGCUGAGGAGCGAAAGCGUGGGGAGCGAACAGG
rnacentral:rRNA from 1 species